CUUUACACAUUCUGUCACCACAGUAAGAUUAUACACUUUGUGCUACCAGCGAAUGCUAGCAGCCUGCAUCGCUAAGCCUAGCCUACAGGGGAUGGAAGCCUUAGAGUGAUCAGAUAACCAUCAGCUGAUUUUGUCAGUGGGCCGGGCUGCUGUCAGUUGGAGUCCCUUAAAGGAUUCAGCGUGCUGAGCCUCUAUGCAGACAGUGGAGAAGGAGAAUGGUAAAAUAUGCCUCAGGCUGAGUCUCCAUGAGGCAUCAGAAUGCUCUUGGCGAAAGCUGCAGUUUUUAUGAUGAGAGGCUUACAUCAUCUCCACGGUCUGACGUCCGACCCACAUGCAAGCGGCUUCGGUUUUCAUCCUGUUUAUGAUCUGCAGAGUCCAAACAUAAGAGCGCCUGGUGUAAUCUGAUAUUAUCCGGACAAACGUGGCGAACGUCGCAUGAUUAACUUAUUCCCCAAACGUUGAUUUGAGCAGAGAAAGGAACCGUCUUCUGACCGUUCUGGUGACACUUAAAGUAGAGCAUCUGCAGAAGAAACGGCUGCGAGGCCUUUAAGACUUAAAGCACAGUUUUAUUAAGACAGAAAGUCAUUUAUCAGUGGUAUCUGGUCCUGUGGGAUCGUUCCUUUAGCUGAGCUGACCCACAAACAUGUGAGGCUGCAGCUCAUUUUACGAGAGGCAAAGCCAUCAGUAAAUGAGUCAGAAACAAACGGAUCUGUUGAUGCUCAGGAGCCUGAAACAUACCAACACAGACAGUUAGGAAAGUCAAGAGAUCCUGAAGAAAUGAUGAAUUCAUCAGGGUCAGACUGUUAGGUGAAGGGAGUUAUCUGUAAACAGCUGUUAUCCCAGAAAAGAAGAGAAUGUGAAUUGAGAAAUGAAGAGGAAUCAUUUGGCCAUACAUUUACAAUUAAUAUUCUGAGCCGCACAAGAAUGUUGGCGAAUUUAAACCAACCAAAGUGUCAGGGAAACAUCGUCUCGCCAAAUCAUUCAUAUCCAUGAAUUGUCACAAUCGCAAACCUUCUUGCAUUUCAUUUUUGUUGCUGUUUGUUUCUUUUGCCAAUAAAAAUAUGAAAAGUG